rnacentral:rRNA from 1 species
UACGAGAGGUGCAAGCGUUGUUCGGAAUUAUUGGGCGUAAAGCGCACGUAGGCGGGGUCGUAUGUCGAUUGUGAAAGCCCAGGGCUCAACCCUGGAAUUGCAGUCGAAACUGCGACUCUUGAAUACUUGAGAGGGUGGGGGAAUUCCUGGUGAAGCAGUGAAAUGCGUAGAUAUCAGGAGGAACAUCGGAGGCGAAGGCGCCUACCUGGCAAGAUAUUGACGCUGAGGUGCGAAAGCGUGGGGAGCAAACAGG